GACGAACGCUGGCGGCGUGCUUAACACAUGCAAGUCGAACGAUGAACCGGAGCUUGCUCUGGGGAUUAGUGGCGAACGGGUGAGUAACACGUGGGCAACCUGCCCCAGACACCGGGAUAACCAUUCGAAAGGAUGGCUAAUACCGGAUACGACCACUUCGGGCAUCCGAUGGUGGUGGAAAGGAUUCUGGUCUGGGAUGGGCCCGCGGCCUAUCAGCUUGUUGGUGGGGUAAUGGCCUACCAAGGCGACGACGGGUAGCCGGCCUGAGAGGGCGACCGGCCACACUGGGACUGAGACACGGCCCAGACUCCUACGGGAGGCAGCAGUGGGGAAUAUUGCGCAACGGGCGAAAGCCUGACGCAGCGACGCCGCGUGAGGGACGAAGGUCUUCGGAUUGUAAACCUCUUUCAGCAGGGAUGAAGCGAAAGUGACAGUACCUGCAGAAGAAGCACCGGCUAACUACGUGCCAGCAGCCGCGGUAACAC
rnacentral:rRNA from 1 species